rnacentral:lncRNA from 10 species
UGUUUGCCAGAGAGGAAAGCAACACUCAUGCACCUCAUUGCAAAACACGUCUGGUCAGGCGGAAAACCCUGGACUUGCUGGGAGGGAGGGAAGAAUGAAGUUGAAACUGAAAGGCUGCUUUGGUGCCCUCAGGUCAUCUGGAAAAGUGUCCACACAGUUCAGGCUUGAGGAGUAAUUUGAUGUGAGAUGAGGAUUCAGAUGAGAAUGAGUUUCCCUGCUUCCCCUUUCCUUGGGGCUCUGCUUGGUCCAGGCCCUAAUGAGUUCUGAAUGUUCAACUACAGGUCCUCCCACCAGCCUCUGAGAAGAGAACAGGACAACCCAAUACCCCCAGAAAACUGGAAAUUUUCGUUUUCCUUGCUUUUUUGCACUUCAUGCCCAGCUUUCCAUCCAAACAGCCUGGCCUGCUGACCCAUAGCAACUUCAGGAUUGGCCCACCAAAUGCAGAGGGAACAGCCUUGCACAGACAUCUCCACCAGCUCCCAUCAUGACUCCAGGUCCAAUCUCUAUUGCAAAUCUGUGUUUUUCUACAUCAUUCAUCGUGGUCAUGCUUCCUUGAUUGAACCUUGCCUGAUACAUCCCCCACCACAUUGCUCUGUGAGUUGGAUAUAAGACAGUGGUACCACUGAAAGCUCAAGGUUCUUUUUAACACAUUUUGCAUUUACUAUAACUCUAAGCAUUUUGGCUCCCAACUGCCACCCUUUGCCUUCUCUCUAUUUCCCCAGAACUUCUCUGUGGGAGGACUUUGAGCAAUAAGGAAAGAGUAUUGACUGCUGAAAUUCCACAGAAAAAAUAUCCAAUUUCUUUCUUCAGCACAGUGAUGGGUGGGGUUAACCACAGAUUUGUCAUCAGAUUUUAAAAUCAAAGCAGUAAGAUUUUCCUAAAAAUAAAUGAAAAAGAAAAAGAAUUCUAUUUACCUCAAUAUUGCUAUUUUCACAAUUUCCUAGAACAAGUUGUACGGAGUAAUACAAAUGCUAAGAAGGUGGGUCCAAAUGAAAUACAGAAUUCAUAAUAAGAGGAUGUUGUUACUCAGAAGAAGGACAACCCAGUGUGCUUUGAGAUGGUAUUGCAGCAAUGAAAACAAGCUCAAUGUCCAUGUCAGAUAAACAAUUGUCGUCACAGCUCUGGAAGUUUGGGAAGUGACUCAUCUUCAGGAAUGGGCAGUGAGUGAAGACAACUGUUUACCUCAGCCCUUUGGUGGUUGACACAAACAUUCUUUUCUUCCCCUGUGACUUGGCCACUGGGAGAUGCUGUUGCAGCCACGUGCAUCGGCACCCCAGCUUCCACCACAUAGAUGCUCACCUCUCCUGCCCCGUGAUGCCUUACACUCUCUGCCCUCAGGUUCUUACUGUCCUUAGGGGUGGAAAAUCUCUAAAAUCAGUGGAUUUCCUG